GAGGAAGGUCCCUGCUGAGGACAGACCUCCAGGAGGGUGGUUGGUCCAGUCCCUAAACGUGUAGUUUCUUCAAGUUUCCUAAUCCUGCCCUGGGUCUGUUGUCACAGAUUUGGAAACUUCUCUGGGCUCCAGGACUAGGAGUUCCUUUAGGACCUCAUGGCCCUGCCUCCUCCCUGUCUUCUCACGGGAUGUUUUCUUCCCACAGGUGGAAAAGGAGGGAGCUAUGCCCAGGCUGCCAGCAGCGAUGGUGCCCGGGGCUCUGAUGUAUCUCUCACGGCUUCUAAAGCCUGAGGCACUUGUCGUGGACCCAGUGAAGGGAGAUUUGUUCACGCUCCCGCUUUGUGCUUCAAGAAUCUCUGAGUUUCCCAGUCU